rnacentral:rRNA from 1 species
UACGUAGGGUGCGAGCGUUGUCCGGAAUUACUGGGCGUAAAGAGCUCGUAGGUGGUUUGUCGCGUUGUUCGUGAAAACCGGGGGCUUAACCCUCGGCGUGCGGGCGAUACGGGCAGACUUGAGUACUGCAGGGGAGACUGGAAUUCCUGGUGUAGCGGUGGAAAUGCGCAGAUAUCAGGAGGAACACCAGUGGCGAAGGCAGGCACUC